CACGUAGGGGGCAAGCGUUGUCCGGAUUUAUUGGGCGUAAAGAGCUCGUAGGUGGUUCGGUAAGUCAGGUGUGAAACCUCCAGGCUCAACCUGGAGACGCCACUUGAUACUGCUGUGACUGGAGUCCGGUAGGGGAGCGUGGAAUUCCUGGUGUAGCGGUGAAAUGCGCAGAUAUCAGGAGGAACACCGGUGGCGAAGGCGGAUCUCUGGGCCAUUACUGACGCUGAGGAGCGAAAGCGUGGGGAGCGAACAGG
rnacentral:rRNA from 1 species